UGCGACCCCAGGUCAGGCGGGGUUACCCGCUGAGUUUA
rnacentral:rRNA from 1 species